rnacentral:rRNA from 1 species
AUUGAACGCUGGCGGCAUGCCUUACACAUGCAAGUCGAACGGCAGCACGGGUGCUUGCACCUGGUGGCGAGUGGCGAACGGGUGAGUAAUACAUCGGAACAUGUCCUGUAGUGGGGGAUAGCCCGGCGAAAGCCGGAUUAAUACCGCAUACGAUCUACGGAUGAAAGCGGGGGACCUUCGGGCCUCGCGCUAUAGGGUUGGCCGAUGGCUGAUUAGCUAGUUGGUGGGGUAAAGGCCUACCAAGGCGACGAUCAGUAGCUGGUCUGAGAGGACGACCAGCCACACUGGGACUGAGACACGGCCCAGACUCCUAACGGAGGCAGCAGUGGGGAAUUUUGGACAAUGGGCGAAAGCCUGAUCCAGCAAUGCCGCGUGUGUGAAGAAGGCCUUCGGGUUGUAAAGCACUUUUGUCCGGAAAGAAAUCCUUGGCCCUAAUACGGUCGGGGGAUGACGGUACCGGAAGAAUAAGCACCGGCUAACUACGUG